CUUUCUGUCACAGUUCUCUGGAGACUGAGGCACUGCUGAAGCUCAGCCAGGUGACACCCCCGCCCCGUCGCAGUAGACUUUCCUGCAGACAGGAGCAGGGAGAGCCAUCCUGUGUGUGGAGACUGCCGGAAGACUGGAUCACCAGGAGAGUUCUCAGGACAUUAUCAAGGCACUCAUUUCUGGUAAGACAUCAGAAGCAGUCUUGCAUGGAGCUAGUUGGUCUUGCCUACAAUUCCUUCUUGCUUUCGCCAUAUGCAAACUGGGAUUGCCUCAGCAGAAGAAUAAUACAGGGCAGAUGGACCGGUUCCAUGUCCAUUUCCAGAGAAAUGAAGGGGUAUAGUUCUGUGUUCCUGAGACCUUUGAGGCUGGUGUUUGAUUGACUGCCAAGGAGUAGACAGAUCCUGAGCUCACCACUGCUUGUUGGCUUUGCCUGGAACUAGCCUUUGCCCACCACAUGACAUACAGCAGUAUGUGCAAACACUUUUUGUCCUUUUUCCCUCAGGUUAGUGUUCCUCCCUCUGGAGAGUCUAUGCACUGAAGGUUGAGAUGAGCAGCUAACCUGUCAGUAGCCAACACAGACAACUGCUAUUGGUUGAGUGUGCCCAGUCUGAAAAUUAGACAUCCUAAAUGCUGUCGAAUCAUGUUAGUGUGCAAAGACCCAGGGUCAGUCUCUCUCACACUGCAAGCAAAACACAAUAAAUACACCCCCCUACCCCCAAAUGCUAAGUCUAAACACUCUGAAAUCCUAAGCACAUCUAG
rnacentral:lncRNA from 1 species